rnacentral:rRNA from 1 species
GACGAACCGAGCGAACGUUAUUCGGAAUCACUGGGCUUAAAGGGCGCGUAGGCGGGCGGCCAAGUCAGGGGUGAAAGCCCCCAGCUCAACUGGGGAAGUGCCUUUGAUACUGGUCAUCUCGAGGGAGAUAGGGGCGUGCGGAACUUCCGGUGGAGCGGUGAAAUGCGUAGAUAUCGGAAGGAACACCGGUGGCGAAAGCGGCGCGCUGGAUCUCCUCUGACGCUGAGGCGCGAAAGCCAGGGGAGCGAACGGG